CCCUUAGAUGUUCUGGGCUGCACGCGCGCUACACUGAUGCGCUCAACGAGUUUUAACCUUGCCUGGAAAGGUUGGGUAAUCUUUUUAAAACGCAUCGUGAUGGGGAUAGAUUAUUGCAAUUAUUAAUCUUCAACGAGGAAUGCCUAGUAAGCGCAAGUCAUCAGCUUGCGUUGAUUACGUCCCUGCCCUUUGUACACACCGCCCGUCGCUCCUACCGAUUGAAUGGUCCGGUGAAGCGCUCGGACCGCGGCCUCUUGACGGUUUUCCGUCGAUUGGCUGUGGGAAGUUCGUUAAACCUUAUCAUUUAGAGGAAGGAGAAGUCGUAACA
rnacentral:rRNA from 1 species